UAAUAUAUAUAUAAAUAAACUCACCCUGCGCAAGGCGCAUGUCUUAUCCUAGUAAGUUAUUAAAGUGGUGGUUACAAAAUAAUCUAGUGGAUUCGGAUCAUUAUGGAAUUAAAGUGGUGGUUACAAAAUAUAUAUAUUUUGAUGUAGAAAAUAUAUGUUAUAUUUUUUUAAGUAAGUAACGUCCACCCCUAUUUUCUAUAUAAGAUAUUGUAUAGAUUUACACACAUUUAUCUGAACCAAAGAACCAAAGUCAAAUGUGAACGUAAUUCAUAAAUAACUAACUGAAUCAUAUCAAUACAAUACUAAAAGCAAGAUAUCCUCAUCGUUGAGGGUGUCCACGUCAGAAAAAAAAAUUGACCAAUGAGAGACUUUUAAAUUGGCAAGUCAUUAAAGAAAAAACACAUCACCAAAUCACUCUUUUCAAAAAAACCUUUUCAACACCACGCCGAUUCCAAUAUCUCCUUGGUCUUCUCCCGAAUCGUCUACCUCUGCAAAAAACAACUUUUCUCAAUUUUUUUCAGCUUUCCUCCUUCUCUCCUUACUCACUAUAUAAGACGGUGGUUGAUUCACGAAAAAUUCCUCUCACUAAAACCACCAUAUCUCUUCAUCGCCUCCGGAGAAAACGAGUAGUUAGUAACGGCGUUCGGUUUUGGAUCCAUCACUUUACCUCUGUAUACAGUUUACUGUAAAAAUAAAUUACUUCAUAUUUGGUGAGUCACUGAACGCCUUACUCCUGGUACAUACAAAACAUUACUUAACCUUUGUACAUUUUUCUUUGAAAAGUGUUCUUGGGAGUUGUCUGUGAUUUCUUUUUCUUUUAUAUUUUUAUCAUAUUGUGAGGGAGAUGGAGGACUUCGAGUUCCAUCACUGGUGGAGCUUACGGUUAAAGUUUGGUUCAUGAUUUCACUUCCUCUGUUUCAGAUCUUUGGUUUCGUACCUGGUGAAAGCUCUUGAUCUGGUGUUUAAUUAGGUUGUUGGAGGUUUAAAAGGAGGAGAUGACGCUUUACAGGAGAGGAUUUGUCAUCUAUUUUUUCAGGACCAACGGAAAAUGGGCAAAUUGAUGUUCACUUUCAGGAUCUGCAUAGCGCAAGAACAACGUUCGAGCAGGCCCUGAUUCAUUUGGUCAUCACUUUUUCUUCUUAUGCUAUGAGAAUUUCCAAGAUAUUUCCUUUGCUUCAAUCUGCGAGUCAACACCAUCACAUGUAGCGUAACAUGAGUUAUCCUUGCCAUACGCUUUCUCUUUGUGUGUUUGGUAUAAUCAGAGGAUCAUGGUGUGUAUUGCCUCUCUCUCUCUCAAAUACUUGAAACAUAAAUCUUUAGCUCAUUCAAGUCGAAGGCUUUAUCUAGAGUUCCCUAAAUGAGCUCUUGCUACAAUAUAUGUACAGUUAUAUCGUUUUUGUUAACGGCUUAUGUUCAAACAUCCAUGCGGCAGAUUUUCCUCUUCCAUGUUGUUCUCAUAAGAAAGAUGAAAUCUUCGAUUUCUAUUCGCCUGAAAGCCCAAAACAAACGUUGAUCUCGAAGUUUAUGUGCAGCAGAUGAGAAUCAGCAUAUCCAUAAAGAUAGAAGGAGAUGGGCGUUCAACUUCUUCCACGCUGAUCAACAAGAAACCAGGUUUCUAUGGAAGCAUAAACCCACGGAAGCUUAUCACUUUAAGCUGAUAUGGAUGAAUGCAGACCUCUGUGUAAGAGGACAUAUCAUUUGAUGUGUUGUGUUAUCAGAUCAGGAGUACACUCAUUACAGUCACUCAACUUCUCUUUGUUGAGCGUUCUAGAAUUGUUUUGGGCCCUAUGCUAACUUUUAUUGGCUGUAGUGGUUGAAGAUUUAGAGGAUGGGGAUCGUACUUCUCAGCCAAAGGACAAAGUUGUGACAUGGAACCUGCCAUUUCGAAGUGAUACCUCAUAUUUGGUCCAGUCUACAACAUAAGCUUACGUGGAAGAUUUCAACAUUCAAAUAUUGAGCUGUGUUAGUGAUUCUGAUUAGAUGUAGAAAAACAUUGUAGAGAAGUAUGGAGUUAGGUACUCGAGGCUGAGAUACUUACAUGAUGCAAAAGAUGUUAUCAUAAGCCAUGGGGCGGAUCUCAUCUCAGGUAUUAUUCCAUGAUCUCCACUAAACGAAAUCUGAUGCGUAACGGAAGGAAUCAGAGGACAACAAGGCCAGUGGUGGAUCUGAUGAGAGAUUUUUCGUAUAGCCAUAUACAGAGCGGGUGGGAUAUGAACCAGUAGCUGUAAUGUUUUGCAUUAUCCUUGCAUUAUCAGUAAAUGACGAUUAGAAGUUACAGCUACUUGCCUUUUUCUUCUACAGUUAAGUUUAUAGUUGUUUUAACGUACAAGAUAAAUUGGAAGAGUAGACGUGGCCGUUGAUAAUUCUGUAGUAGAGUCUUAGGUGUAUCUCUUUAGUCUGAGGGUUAGAUUCAGUAGCAGCUAUGUGCCAUCUUUUGGUUGUAUCUGGUGAAGCUGAAGUUCUUGGUGGGAAUAUGAAAAAGCAGAUAAUGGAUGAGUCUGAGAAUUUGAGUUUGAACUGACUGGUGCCGCCUCAUCCUCCACCGCUUCCAGCAUCUCCAGGAUAUGAAUCAAGAGAGGUUGAGGGAGACAGCAUAACCUAAAAACAGAUCAACAAGUUCCCUCAUCCUCUUUGCUGCUAUUGAGGCUGCAGCUCAGAGGCCUAAUCUCCUUCUUGGUUUUGACAAUUCUUGUGAAGGUUUUAUAUCACUGAGGAGGAAAAUCAAUAUUUUCUCGAGUUUUUAUAAUCUUCUGCUAUAGAUUGGAUAGAACCUCUUUAGAUCAAACUAAUUAUGAAGGUCGAUAUCAAUAUCUAUUGGUGUCUAUUGGAGAUUCAAAUUUUUAUGUACGGUUACAAUAAUAUGAGUCUAACUUUAAAGUCUA